GCUAUACAUGCAAGUCGAACGAACUCUGGUAUUGAUUGGUGCUUGCAUCAUGAUUUACAUUUGAGUGAGUGGCGAACUGGUGAGUAACACGUGGGAAACCUGCCCAGAAGCGGGGGAUAACACCUGGAAACAGAUGCUAAUACCGCAUAACAACUUGGACCGCAUGGUCCGAGCUUGAAAGAUGGCUUCGGCUAUCACUUUUGGAUGGUCCCGCGGCGUAUUAGCUAGAUGGUGGGGUAACGGCUCACCAUGGCAAUGAUACGUAGCCGACCUGAGAGGGUAAUCGGCCACAUUGGGACUGAGACACGGCCCAAACUCCUACGGGAGGCAGCAGUAGGGAAUCUUCCACAAUGGACGAAAGUCUGAUGGAGCAACGCCGCGUGAGUGAAGAAGGGUUUCGGCUCGUAAAACUCUGUUGUUAAAGAAGAACAUAUCUGAGAGUAACUGUUCAGGUAUUGACGGUAUUUAACCAGAAAGCCACGGCUAACUACGUGCCAGCAGCCGCGGUAAUACGUAGGUGGCAAGCGUUGUCCGGAUUUAUUGGGCGUAAAGCGAGCGCAGGCGGUUUUUUAAGUCUGAUGUGAAAGCCUUCGGCUCAACCGAAGAAGUGCAUCGGAAACUGGGAAACUUGAGUGCAGAAGAGGACAGUGGAACUCCAUGUGUAGCGGUGAAAUGCGUAGAUAUAUGGAAGAACACCAGUGGCGAAGGCGGCUGUCUGGUCUGUAACUGACGCUGAGGCUCGAAAGUAUGGGUAGCAAACAGGAUUAGAUACCCUGGUAGUCCAUACCGUAAACGAUGAAUGCUAAGUGUUGGAGGGUUUCCGCCCUUCAGUGCUGCAGCUAACGCAUUAAGCAUUCCGCCUGGGGAGUACGGCCGCAAGGCUGAAACUCAAAGGAAUUGACGGGGGCCCGCACAAGCGGUGGAGCAUGUGGUUUAAUUCGAAGCUACGCGAAGAACCUUACCAGGUCUUGACAUACUAUGCAAAUCUAAGAGAUUAGACGUUCCCUUCGGGGACAUGGAUACAGGUGGUGCAUGGUUGUCGUCAGCUCGUGUCGUGAGAUGUUGGGUUAAGUCCCGCAACGAGCGCAACCCUUAUUAUCAGUUGCCAGCAUUAAGUUGGGCACUCUGGUGAGACUGCCGGUGACAAACCGGAGGAAGGUGGGGAUGACGUCAAAUCAUCAUGCCCCUUAUGACCUGGGCUACACACGUGCUACAAUGGAUGGUACAACGAGUUGCGAACUCGCGAGAGUAAGCUAAUCUCUUAAAGCCAUUCUCAGUUCGGAUUGUAGGCUGCAACUCGCCUACAUGAAGUCGGAAUCGCUAGUAAUCGCGGAUCAGCAUGCCGCGGUGAAUACGUUCCCGGGCCUUGUACACACCGCCCGUCACACCAUGAGAGUUUGUAACACCCAAAGUCGGUGGGGUAACCUUUUAGGAACCAGCCGCCUAAG
rnacentral:rRNA from 2 species